rnacentral:lncRNA from 1 species
GUGUUCAUGCUUUCCGGUACCUGCUAAACAAAAUUACUUGUUAUUUUGGAAGGUGAUACCAACUCCAUCCCGAAGUACCUCAGUUUUGGGCCCUGGUAAUUCCUCUACCGGUCCCACAAAGAACCCGUUGAGCUUUCUUCCAACACUAUCUUCAAAAGAUGAUGAUGAAACCUCUAACAGAUGGUUAGAUGAGGAUGGAGGUGAUGAGAUACCUUAUUGUGUAUCACCUGAUAUCAGUGACUUUGAUAUCAGUGAUUUUGACUCCUCUUCUGACUCAAGUACUCACCUACUGGAUAAAUCUUAAUUUCUAAAGAGAUUUUACAUUUCUGCCAUUUGUGUGUAGUAGUCUGUAUAGUCUACAUUUAAACAUGUUUAUAAGAUACAUUUAGUUUGGGUUCUUCUUUUGUAGACAGAGGGAGUUUUUCUGAUGCAAGUUGAUCAGCUCACUUCCUUUCUCUCUCAAAAUUAUGGAUUGCCUGUCUCCUCAACAGAUCCAGAUAAUGAAAAGUUAAAUUGUUAGGGUCAUUGAUAACUGAUAACCCAUCCAAAGAUGCCAUCAGGAGGAGGACAUUGGAAAGGCAACACUUCAUUUUUUUGCUCCCAAAGCCCCCUCGACACAUUUUAACAGUGCUUUGUAGGAGGGAUUCAGAGUUGGAUUCUAGGCAACACAGAACAUCCUCUUGAGAAGUCUUUGGAAAGUUCCUUCACAUCCCAAUCAGUUUCAGGCUAUAAUGUGUGUGUAUUCAUAUCUUUCUGUUGUAUUCAGCAUGUGGAGUUAAGUACAUUAAAUAAACAUAUAUAUA